rnacentral:ribozyme from 2 species
UUUUUUUUUUUUUUUUUUUUUUUUUUUUUUUUUUUUUUUAU